rnacentral:rRNA from 1 species
UACGGAGGGGCGAGCGUUAUUCGGAAUCAUUGGGCGUAAAGGGCGCGUAGGCGGCCCCGUAAGUCUUGGGUGAAAGCCCUCGGCUCAACCGAGGAAUUGCCUUGGAUACUGCGGGGCUCGAGGCUGGAAGAGGGCAGUGGAAUUCCCGGUGUAGCGGUGAAAUGCGUAGAUAUCAGGAGGAACACCUGUGGUGUAGACGGCUUACUGGACCAUGACUGACGCUGAGGCACGAAAAGCGUGGGGGAGCAAACAGG